AUUGAACGCUGGCGGCAUGCUUUACACAUGCAAGUCGAUCGGUAACAGGUUAAGCUGACGAGUGGCGAACGGGUGAGUAAUGCAUCGGAACGUGCCCGAUCGUGGGGGAUAACGCAGCGAAAGCUGCGCUAAUACCGCAUACGAUCUGAGGAUGAAAGCGGGGGACCGUAAGGCCUCGCGCGAUCGGAGCGGCCGGUGUCAGAUUAGGUAGUUGGUGGGGUAAAGGCCCACCAAGCCGACGAUCUGUAGCUGGUCUGAGAGGACGACCAGCCACACUGGGACUGAGACACGGCCCAGACUCCUACGGGAGGCAGCAGUGGGGAAUUUUGGACAAUGGGCGAAAGCCUGAUCCAGCAAUGCCGCGUGCAGGAAGAAGGCCUUCGGGUUGUAAACUGCUUUUGUACGGAGCGAAAAGGUCCUUUCAAAUACAAGGGGCUCAUGACGGUACCGUAAGAAUAAGCACCGGCUAACUACGUGCCAGCCGCCGCCGUAAAAC
rnacentral:rRNA from 1 species